rnacentral:lncRNA from 1 species
GCAAGUAUAGACCUGGAAUCUGAAAUAAAGUAUUUAAAGCUAUUUAUUGAGACUUGAUUUCGAAUGUUGAGUGCCCACGUGUUAGGUCAUUUUCGCUGCUAGUUAAAAAGUUUAUCCUCUUGUUUUAAAUUUUUUUAUUUUUUUCUAUUUGUUUUAAAGUUUCCUGGCCGGGGUAAUUUAAUUAUUUAAUAAAUCAUAAAAAAUCAAUGUGUUUCAUGCGAUGGUUAUAAUUUUUUAACGAUUAAAAUUUUUCGACUCCCACAGGGAACUUUUAAAACUAGAGCUGAAGCUGCAGAUUCA